GGAAAUGGGGGAGGAGUAAAAGGUACGUUAUGGAGAAGCUGCCAUUCUCUUACAGGGCCUGCAGCCUGGGAGGGCUUACUCUGGUGGGCAUGGAAAGAAGAGGAGCAGUAGGAGAUAGUCCGUGUGUGGACUGCAGCCUUCUGUGUGCCUGCCUAUGGAGCGAACAGUGGCAGCAUGACCCGUGGUGACAGUAAGGGGGUAGGGGCGCACUGAGAAGAGCGGACCAGGGCCGGUGCCUGAAGCUCAGCCUACCAAAGGAGGAGGACUGUCUUUCCCACGGGUUUAGGUGAAAGCUGUUUUGUCUGUGACAGUAACUGGCAGCGAUCUCCCUCCGUUCUGACCCGCCGCUUCUCCCGCUCCCCCCGCAGGGAGGGGCAGUAGCUGUGCGCCUAUCGCCCAGGGCAGCCGGAAAAAACACUGAAAACUCUCAAAGAAUGAAUGUAAGCGCGAACUAAUUACAGAUUUUGCAGACACUAAAAGACAGAUAUCGUGAAGCCUGACGGGAGCUACCACGAGGAUCACGUAUCGGGCUUCCCAUGUGCGGUAAGACGCAGAGGGCGGUGCCGUCCCUCUGCCGUGUCAUCCGCAAAGCCGGACGGCACGCAGCCCAAGGCUCUGCCCCGCGCCCCCAGCCCUGCCCGCCCCUUCGCCAGGGGAGGGGACGAGACCGCGCCGAGCGGGGCGGCCGCGCUGGACGUUACCUCCUCCCACUCAGCCUCCGCGCCGUGCUCGGGCGGCUUCACCUGCAGCCGAGCGAACAGGCACUGCUGCAGCAAGGCCCGAGCCAGCACCGGCCGCGCCGCCGCCAUGGGACGGGAGGGAGCGGCGAGAGGGCGGGCGCAGAGCCCGGGCGGGGCGGCGGCGGGGUCACGGUGCAGUGCGCGUUGCUUUUCCGGGUUAGCGGGGCCCGUGGCUGCAGUGAGGUGCUCGGGCGUUACUAAGCGCAGCGCCUGGGUACCGCCUCAUUGGCGUGUGUGAGGACCUCUGGUCCGUCAGUGGCCUCUGAGGAGGGGCAGGUAGCGAUGGAUGUAGCUUUAGGACAGGAAGAGUUUUAACAGCUCGUACUUAAAAAGCCCUAUUGCUACCUGGAAGCUGGUGGCUUGGUUGGCUUGUUCGGGUGAGAAAAAUGCUGCUUAGCUUAUUUGCUAGUGGGGCAGUGUUAUGUGCUGUGUGAAAACCAAGGGCCAAAAAGGAGCAGUGGAAGGACUGCUUAUUGCUGCUUUACAGACUGGUGGUGCUUGGAUUCUGCUUACUGAUGUUUCACAUCAGAGGGAUUUUUCUCAAUGACACUAUCUGGAAGCAGAGGGGAAAAAACAGACAUUAAGGUCAAGAACAUGUCUACCUUCCAAACCAGAGGUAUUUAAAAGUGUAGAAUGGAGAGGGAGCACGAAGACUUACCCUACCACUUGUCAAGCAUCAGAAACCAUAUAGAGUCAAAUGUGUUUUAGCUGCUGUUGGAGAAAAUGCAUCUAUUAUGCUUUGAAGCUUAAAGAAUGACUCAGCACAACUUCAGUGUAGAAGAUUAGAGAUUGGGAACUUUAGAUUAAACUCAUGGAUCUGCCUCUGACUUAAUCUAAAACCAGAAGAGGAGUUACUUUCCUUCAUAGUGGUGGAUUAACUGGAGAAAGAAAUAAGCUUUUCAAUAAUCUGCUGUUCUGCCUUCACAGUUUUGGACUGCCAUUGUUUUAUAUGUAGUACUUGUGAUCCAAGAGUACUUCUUAUAUUUAUGUUCAGCUGAGAUUGAUUCAGCCUGCAAGGAUCAGUCUGGAAGGUGUUGCUGCUGGCACAAUUGUGUAAGUGGUCCAUAUACAUCCAAGGAACAUCAGUUCCCUUUGGUGAUGUCUUGCACUACUAAUGCACUAGAAAUUACGAGAAAAGUAUUUAAUGGCCACAGAGCAAAAUUGAAUUGGUUUGGGAUGUGAGACAGAUUUUUUUAAAAUAAUUAGUAAAUGCAAAACCCACUAGAAGUUGGUAUUGUUUCUUAAUUAGUCUCAUUGUUGAAAUUAGAUUAAUUUGCAAUACAAAACUCACUUAUGCUCCAGGUUCUGAUGCUAACAAAAACACUUCCUGUAAAAUGUAAGUUCAUUACUGAGCAAAUGAAUGAGGAACAGAAUUAAAAUGAUUUCACAAAUUGAAA